rnacentral:tRNA from 1 species
GAGGGUAUAGCUCAGUGGUAGAACACGUGCUCAGCAUGCAGGAGGUCCUGGGUUCAAUCCCCAGUACCUCCA